UUAUCCUUGUGGCUUAGUGAGUGAGUGCUCGUGGAAGAAAAGCCUGUAAGGAAGUGAGGGACACAGGAUAAGGAGGGGAUGAUGCCAAUAAAGGCGAUGGUUUCAGCUGCUUUAAUUGAUUGACAGGUGGUCCAGCCUCAUGUUGAUCCCAUAAGGAGCUCUGGAGUGUGGAGAGCAUGCUGGAAGCCGGGAAAUCAGACUUUUCUACUCUGAAUCAGCCAGGCUGCCUGCAAUCUUGUCCCCAAUAGGCAGAUGGGUCACAGCAGAAGUACGGGAAUAAUAAAACCCAUCCUCCAGGGCU
rnacentral:lncRNA from 1 species